rnacentral:tRNA from 5 species
GCCGGUGUGAUGGAAUUGGUAGACGUAGCGGACUCAAAAUCCGCCGCUGGCGACAGCGUACCGGUUCGAGUCCGGUCACCGGCACCA